GGUUAAAAAUUUUAUCUAUUUGUAUUGUUAAAAACUGACUUGAUUGAUAGAAUAACCACAUGACGUGCCAUGUGUACCUCAUGUUGAUGUUUAAGAAUUGGUUUUUAACUGUAGAAAUGCUCAUAAAAAUUUUAACA
rfam:Gossypium raimondii Chr06_contig_1311, whole genome shotgun sequence.